GCAUGGUAUGCAUUGAUCACAUACUAACGUGUUUAGUGUUUUGUGAGUGGGUCUCCCCUCAUGAGCUGCUGGCUCGUUAGUGGUGAUUGAUCUGUCAAUGGGACGACGCAUGAGUGGUGAUUAGGAUGUGUUUUCAUGCAGGCUCUACGUAUUUUAUGUUGAACUGUGUGGAGCUAUCCAUUUCAGUAGUCUGUUGCUUCGGCUUGUCUUUGCUGUUGCAAAAUGUUUUGGUGGUUUCUGUGUUAUCUACCGAUUUCGGUAUGAGCGAUUGAUAGAAUUCGUUGCCUUUUGUUCUUUCCGCUGUUGGCUGGUCUAGUGAAGGUGGACGUUACAUUGGUCUCCUGUGGUCCUUGCAAGUUAUAUCCCUUUUGUGGGAGUGGAUUUGCAAUGGCUUGUAGGUGGUUGUCUUUGCUCUUGGGUAUGUGAAAUAUUUGGUUAUCGUUUGGGUCUUUGACCUAUACAUAUCAUGUGUUGARCAUGUAGCCUUAUUUUGUUUGACCCUCGUGCAUGUUCCUAAGCUCAUUGAGCCUUAGUGCUCAAUGUUCGUCAUGGAGAUGUCGAGGUUUACAAGGAAUGC
rnacentral:misc_RNA from 1 species